rnacentral:sRNA from 5 species
AUAUCUCUCUGUACGGGAAGGAUGAGAAGCUUCGACUAAGGUUCGAUUCGAGCGUCAGCGAGAAAGCGUUGCCGCAGGCAACGACCCGAAGGGCGAAGCGCGCAGCGCUGAGU